rnacentral:rRNA from 1 species
AAUAUUGCACAAGUGGGGGAAACCCUGAUGCAGCCAUGCCGCGUGUGUGAAGAAGGCCUUCGGGUUGUAAAGCACUUUCAGUAGGGAGGAAGGUAGUGUAGUUAACACCUGCACUAUUUGACGUUACCUACAGAAGAAGCACCGGCUAACUCCGUGCCAGCAGCCGCGGUAAUACGGAGGGUGCGAGCGUUAAUCGGAAUUACUGGGCGUAAAGCGCAUGCAGGCGGCCUGUUAAGUCAGAUGUGAAAGCCCCGGGGCUUAACCUCGGAAUUGCAUUUGAAACUGGCAGGCUAGAGUCUUGUAGAGGGGGUAGAAUUUCAGGUGUAGCGGUGAAAUGCGUAGAGAUCUGAAGGAAUACCAGUGGCGAAGGCGGCCCCCUGGACAAAGACUGACGCUCAGAUGCGAAAGCGUGGGGAGCAAACAGGAUUAGAUACCCUGGUAG